rnacentral:rRNA from 1 species
GUUGAACGCUGGCGGCAGGCCUAACACAUGCAAGUCGAGCGGAUGAAGGGGGCUUGCGCCUGGAUUCAGCGGCGGACGGGUGAGUAAUUCCUAGGAAUCUGCCUGGUAGUGGGGGAUAACGUCCGGAAACGGGCGCUAAUACCGCAUCCGUCAUGAGGGAGAAAGUGGGGGAUCUUGGGACCUCGCGCUAUCAGCUUAACCUAGGUCGGAUUAGCUAGUUGGUGGGCUAAAGGCCUACCAAGGCGACGAUCCGUGACUGGUCUGAUAGGAUGAUCAGUAAGAUGGGAACGGGGAACCGCUCCAGACCCCUACGGGAGGAAGCAGUGGGGAACAUUGGACAAUGGGGGAAAGCCGGACCCAGAAAUGCGGCGUGGGUGAAGAAGGUCUUCGGAUUGUAAAGUCCGUUAAUUGGGGAGGAAGGGCAGUAAGUUAAUACCUUGCUGUUUUGACGGUACCUACAGAAUAAGCACCGGCUAACUUCGUG